rnacentral:lncRNA from 1 species
UAAGGGAAUAAAAGGCCACCUGGGCUGCAACGCAACUUGCUCGAAUCCUUUUUCCGGAAUGUGGAAUCUUUCUUAUUUUCCUUUUCACAGUAGAUCUUCUUGCUUCUCACUUUUUGGGUUCGGAUUUCCGUUAAAAGCUGUAACACUGGGAGAGUCUGCGGCUUCACUCCUAAAUCAGGAAGACCACGAACUCCUCGAGAGAAGCGAACUCUGGACGUGACACUUUUAGGAGCUGUAACACGGCAAAGGUCUGUGGCUUCAUUCCUAACGUCAGAGAGACAACAAACUCACCGGGAAAAAUGAACAACUCCGGACCCGCCACCCUUAGGAGCUGUAACACGGCCAGGGUCUGCGGCUUCACUUCCGAAGUAAGCAAGACCACGAACCCACCAGAAGGAAGAAAUUCCGGACACAUGUGAAAGGAACAAACGACUGACACACCAUUUUUAAGAACCGCAACACUCACUGCGAGGGUUCGUGGCUUCGUUCUUGAAGUCUGUGAACCCAAGAACCCUCCGCAAGGAACCAGUUCCAGGCCCACGGCUAGACUUUCUUAUUCAGCAUACCGGGGGCAGGGAAAAAAGAGAUACUCAAUAUUUAUAUCUUUAAGAAUGUUUAAACGCUGGUAUAGCUGAAAUUGGGAACCAACGUCUUGAAACCCACUGUUCUAAUAAAAAACAGAUGGAUGCAAAAGGACAAUGCGUUGACACUCCAAGUCGACCUGGUGGUGGUCACUGUGCCCUGGCAGGUUUUAUUACUGAACGUGGAAUGAGCCCAGCAAACCUGACCACUUGGGUGCGCUGUGCAUUCCUGUUGCUGGGUGGUUGACUGCCAGUUAACCCUGCCCAGCUUUUUCAGUUUCACAGCGUUAGAAUUCCCGAUUUUUAGUGGUGCACACCAAGCAUUGUAUUGACUGUUUCCCAGAAUCCGUUGCAGUUUGGAGCUUUGAGAACUGAACUGAUGGGCAACACCAAAAACAAUCCAAGCCUAAACGCAGCAGAAUACUGACACACAGGAUGAGCAACAGACACCUGUUGUACACCAGACCUGGAGGGCCCGGAGACAUGGAAGAGAGCCCCUCUGUUGAGAAGGCACCAUCUAAGGUGGCCCGUGGGGUCCAGCCCACCACAGCAGGCACAGUGCUCGCAAAGCCACGAUGGAAGACCCAGAAAAUUGCGGCAAAGGAUAAUUACAACUUUGUAACGAAAAGCAAAAACAAGAAAGAAAAAGCACCCUCAGAGGCAGAACUCUUGUGACCCCCAAAUCCAUUAGCACUCGUCUCUCAUGAAAGGCUGGUCACGAAUGCCUGCAUUCUUUUGAACUGA